ACAAUAAGCAUUAUAUGCAUGUCGGUUUCGGCCCGGCAAGAGCGUCAUACGCAUUGUUUU
rnacentral:tRNA from 1 species